rnacentral:tRNA from 1 species
AUAAAAAUAAGCUAAAUAAGCUAGAAGGUUCAUACCCUUCCUAUAGAGGACCACCCCUCUUUUUUAUA